rnacentral:lncRNA from 1 species
GUUGUUCGUGAACUGAACUUUUCUCAAGGAUGGGCCGGUGUGCACUAUCUGUAUGUCGAGUCCUUCCCUGCGGACUGAGUGUUGUAUCGCUGCAGUAGUUCUGUCAUCAAAAUGCGGCAGCUUUAGGAAGCACGUGCCGGACUUGGGAGUAUGAGGGUUCUUCCGGGGCUUAUUGACCCUGAUGUUCUUUAGGUGCCGAUGUUUGACUAAAGAUGGUGGGUAGCCAUUCAGGGUUAGGUCCCUGAGGAACUACUUGGUGUUGACGGUUUUGUCGGUCACUUCGCUGCAAUUUUUGUUUAUACGUGCAAUCUCGUUUCUUGCGAAUGCGUCAUCUCCGUACAAUGUAAUUCCGAAAGAGAUGUUGAGAACAAGAUACAGCUUGUCUUCGAAACAAGAGCCUGAAAAUAGAAACAAAACUCAUUGUAUAUACUUUGUGGUUGUGAGACGUGGGCCAUGUAUCGCCAGGAUAUUUGAAAACUGGAAUGAUUCCAUCAACGAAAAUAGUGAGCAAUUAUGAAUGUCAAAUGAGAUGAAUAUGUCGACAAUCUUAUCAUUUUUGAACGGGCCAACGCCAACAGCAUUGACGCUGUCAUCACCAAACAUCGCCCCAGAUAGGCAUAUCAGGUCCAUCUCAUGAAAAAUACUCAACUGCUACGUUAUACCCUCUACAGCGAACUCAGUUCCGGCAUGGGAUCUUGCGGGUGUCCCAUGCGACACGACACACGCCAACUAAAAUAAGUGAUGAUGAGCACCAACAUUGACACUAGAUCCCAGGAGCAACAUGCAGAAGACAGAACAGUGUGGCGUUGCACUAUCAAGACUAAUGCAAAACAUACUGAGAAACAUAGUCGAAGAAAUAAGAAGAUAAAGUGUUAUGGCGGGCGACCCACCAAUUCCAGCCAAGGCCUACGACCAUCAAAUACAUCUUCUGUGAACUAUUGGUCUACGCAAAAAUUGGACUUUCUAGCCUUCAGAGGUACUGACAUAAAUGAAGAAUUACAAAUUAAGAUAUAUUCGGAAACAAGGAGUAGCCGAUGGCGACGAUACAUAUAUAUAUAUAUAUAUAUAUUAUUAUAUUAUAUUUAUCAUUCUUUUUAUACUUAAAAGAAAACAAUAAUAUAUAUAUAUUAUAUUAAUUAUAUUUAUAUUAUUUGUUAUUUAUGUAUUGGUUUAUGUCUAUCACUGUUUGAGUUGCAUAAUAGUGGUUUUAUCUCUAAUUCAUAUUUUAUAUAUUUAUACUGUGAAAUUUGAUUUAAUACUAAAUCAAAUUUUUCCCUGUAUACUCCCUAAUAUUAUUAUUAUUAUUAUUAUUAUUAUUAUUAUUAUUAUUAUUAUCAUCAUUGUGUAUAUAUAUAUAUAUAUAUAUAUAUAUAUAUAUAUAUAUAUAUAUAUAUAUAUAUAUAUAUAUAUAUAUAUAUAUAGAUAGAUAGAUUUAACCGAACAACACCGAUCUUCUCUCUGAAAAUGCACAUCUUUGGUUAUGAGCAUAUGAUGAACUUCUGCACACCAUGUACAGAAAGGGAACUGCUGAUGAAUGCAACACUUUGAAUUUAUAAUCUUCUCUUUAGUUAGAAUUAAAUAUCUCCUCUUACAAAAUCACAGCUGACAAACGGCCUGAUAAAUAAUUGCGAUGGCGGUCUCCAUUACUUCACGAGGGGAGAAAAUAAAUUGGAACUGUUUCGACCAACCUCCACAAAUACAGCAAUUUAAAAUUAAUUUUACUUCGAUUUCUACACAGCUAAUAAACUAUGAAUUAAAAUGACUUCCGCUUGGUCAAACGCUUCCAUCUCAUAUCAUUUCUGUCUCUUUUCUAAAAUUUUUUCUUCUCUUGUGAUGUAAUUAACAGAUCCAUGAAUAUUUCGCACUGUAGAGAUUGAAUUAAAAUUGAAAUGGAAAUUCAAUGUAGGAAUAUUGAGAAAAUAAAAUUCAUCAAAUUGAUAAAGACUAUAUCCACUCCAUUUAACUCAUUAAGAUUACUUCAUUAACGACGAAAAAUAGAUGCCGGGAAAGAUGAUUCUCUCCCUUGCAAGAAAAAAAGGUAACCAAUGAAUAAUCAACUAUGUAUGUAUGUAUGUAUGUAUGUAUGUAUGUAUGUAUGUAUGUAUGUAUGUAUGUACAGACAGACAGACAGAUAGGGAGAAAGAGCGAGAGAGAGAGGGAAUGUGUGAAACAUAUCUGCUCACAUAUACAUAUAUGCUUAUGUAUGCACACACACACACACACUCAUACAAUUUACACUUUUCCACUAUUUGAAAAAUUUCUACUUCGAUCUUAUUCAAAACUGACCCUUACACAUUCAGACGUAUACACAACCGUGUGCACACACAGGUACAUCUACUCCUGCCUUCUCUUUCUCAUGUUCUUCCGUUAGAGCGACACGGACCGUCCAGUUAUCCUAAUCGCUGACCGAUGGCUUGCGCGGUGACUUUGGUUAAAAGCGUUGCAUACCAUCUAUCUUACUCUCUCGUAUGUCACUAUCUUCAAUCCAGUGGCAAGAACA